GAAGGGGAAGGGAGAGCAGCAGAUACCAGCAGGGGAAGGCAGCGGAUUGAUGUGAGCUAGAUUUAGCUGUGCUGGUAAAUUUAACACUUCUUUUAGGGGAAAAUGCAUGUAAUUUGCUCUGGGAGCGUGUCACGUAAGGAUAGAAUGGCAGGAAGAUGGGAUCUGUCACAGGGCAACAGUUAAAAGGAGAAAAACUUGUACAAAUAGGAGGAUAUUUCUUCUUGCCUUCAUUAGCUUCUCCUUCGUUAAUGAUGUGUUGUGGGUGGAUCUGCUGUUGACUGUAACCCUCAGCCUUGGCCCAGGCAUUUUGCACAUUUCCUGUGAGAACUGGCAGGAUCAAAACUGCAUCCAGAGUUCAGCUGUAACAGGGCAGAGCGGGAGGAGAAUCCCACACUCCCCUCUCCUGUAUUUCUUUAUUUGUUGGGUUAAUCACUGAAGUCGCAGAUGUGUCAGCAGAGUCACCAGAGCGCUGGUUUUGCAUCCUCCUGAAAGGCCCUCGCCUGGCUCACAGGCUGCACUGCUAGGCCUGGCAGCAGCACAGCGCUGUUGUUUGUGGUGAGGAAAGCUGUUCUUGCCAUGAAAAGUCUUUAAAACAGGAGCCCUAGGAUCACACCAUGUUGUGUGUGGUGGUGGCUUUGCUGGCCUUGGGUUUUUCCUCAUUCUCCCACCUGAAAUCUCAGCGUUUGAGCAAAUGAAAUCCCAUUGUAUGGGCUGGGGAUGCCAAAGGUUUGAGGUGACGGGGAGGAAAUGGUUCAAAGCGGAGAUCUCAGAAACUGUACAUUUUCGACAAGGUCUGUGGUGUGGUGUUUGAAAGUUGAAGUGCUUUUUACGUUUCUGUGGUUGAUCAUUCUGAACCCUGUUCUACAUUGACAGCCACGUCUUUAUUACAACAAAUGAGAUGUCUUGCGUGCUCUUAUAUGUUAUUUUUCCCCUGGACCAGCUAAUUCUGCUUUCCUGAUAAAUCAUUAAGGCUUUCUCAAAGCAAAAGGUAAAUUAUGUACAUUUGUAGGUCUGCAUUUCAGGGGACAAAAUGAGAAUAUUGCUUACUUUUGAAUAAAUAGGUUUACUAGUUUCAGUUGUUACUUUUCUAAAUUGGCCCUGCAGGUAUAAGAAAUUACUUAUUUUAAUCUCAAUUUUCAAAUUCCUAGGGGAGGUGUGAGAGCCACUGGGCAAGAGAGAGGUACAAACAGCUGACAAAGGUUACCAUUACGAUUAAAAAAGACUUUCACAACAGAGGAUGACUUUAUUUUUAGCAACUCUGAAUAAUGAGAAGAAGUUAUCUUCUUCAAUUAGAUAUCAGUUCCAGUUAACGAAUUUCCAGCGUUUUGGCUGGUGGGGAAGUCAGGUUGGCUCCGGCAGCCCAAUGGCAGCGACUGUCGAUGCCGUGGGGAAAUGUGUGAUGCAGAAAAGUAACACCGAGGUACAGAAAGGUGUGCCGGUGAACCUGAGGGAAGGGGCUUCGCUGCUGCUGUAAGCCCGUAACGCUGCGUUACCUGCGGUCCUGUCGUGUGUUUUCUUCUGAGGAGAUUUUCUGUAGCCUCAGCACGAGCACAAGAACCCGUCACUUGGAAGGAAAAGGAACGGCCUUUGGUUUAAUGUCUAAGCAUUGUUGGUUUCUUCCAUUCUUUUCAUCCCCGAUUCCCUCUCAAAACAACAACAACAACAACAGAACAGUACGGUGGGUCAGUGAGGAGCAAAGGUUUGGUUUUAGGGCGAGGACUUUGGUUUUUUAUUUUUAAACUAUUUGAAGCAUUGUUUUUUCUCUGAAAGUAAAAACAAAUCUCAUUUUUCAUACUUGAUUUUCUCUAACCUAGAACACUGCAGUGCUGCGUUGUGGAUGUUUUGACACAUAAGCCCCAUGUCAUUAACACAACUAGACCCACAUUAUUUUAAUAUUUCAGGAAGCCGUAGAUUUGAGCUUUGUGUUUUCCUGGCUUAUUAUAGGAACGUUGAUUCCACCCUGAAUCGCAGGACGUUGUCAGAAGUGUUGUGUGUACAGAGUGUUUGCCCAAACUGAAUAAACAGUUCUCAGAUAAGCAGCUUUCUGACUAUUACCCAUAGCAGGCGUGUGGCUGACACAGCUUCGUGCUGACAGAUGCCUUCGUGUCUGUCUUGUGAUGGAGAGAAGACAGAUGUUCUCCUUGGCGUUUAAGAAAGCUGCUGCUUAGCAAAAUGACAUGUAAAAUGAGAAUGAAGAGCGGCGCAGCGAGCAGUGUAACCGGCCAGCCUACAAGCAGAAAAGGACUGGAACAGUCUCCUGUGAAUGCAAUGAAGUGUGUUCUUACUGGGAGUCAGGAGCUGCUUUGUCAUUAGUUAAAAGCAGCCUAUAGAAAAAGAAAUGCCGUUUUUUUUCCAGCUCUGCUCAAAUAUAGAUGUGUGUCAGUCUGACUGUCCAUGCCAGCCGCUCUUCAGAGAGAAGCACAGUGACUGGGAUAAAUGCCGAAGUGAUACAGCAAUCAGCAGCUCUAACAAGCCCCAGGGGCGUCCCUGGGCCACAGCUGCUCCUGUCACUGGUUCAGCACAAGCCCAUGUGGAGACUCGGGCGCUGGUCUGGGGGCAGCCCCGGGCUCCCUGUGGUGCUGCCGCACUGAUACCACCAAAGCGGCCCCUUUGCAGCCGGUGUGUUCUGGUGCGGCUGUUCCUGAGGGGAGCGACAACCCUGAGGGCGAGGUUGGGGCGGUGCCAGUUCCCGUCCCUGCCGGUGCCGGUGCCGGUGCCUGCGGAGGGUCCCACCCGCACUGGCCGGUGGCUCCUGAGCUGCUCUGCUCGCCAGAACGUGCCUUUGGAUAUUGGUGGCUUCCUGUAACCGUGAUUAUCAGAUUUGCUGAGCAGAAUUACACCAGCAAAUUUGAAUCUAUUCUGCAAAUAAGAAUCAAACCUGAUGCCAAGCUCAGCAGUUAGUCUAGAGAAGACAUGGAGAAACACCAAGGAAGUGCAUCACCUGAUUGAUUGGAAUUGUUUUGCAGAGGACGACUUAGGAUUUCGAACUGUAGUUCUGAACUAAAAGCUCCAGAACUCUGCGCCAGAUGGCCGGCUGGUGCCCGGUGCUCCUCCUGCCAUCUCAAAGUACCAGCACCAGAUAUGUCCUUGGCGUUUUAAUUAAAGUUGAGUUUACUGUCUCACAGUUUAACCUCUGUAUUUGCAGUGGCUGUUCUACACUGAACAUUAACUCUUCCUGCAGCUUUUCUCCAGCCUAUCAAGACACCUGAGUUUGCUGUAAACUAUUAAAUAUGGCACAGAAAAAUCUGAAAUUAGAGAACUGGAGAAAGAAGUGGCGUCUGUGGCUUUUGGAUUGAGGAGGAAAUGACUUGCUCUCCCCUUACCUUUUGUACGGAAGUGACUGUUUUGGGACGGUGUCCCUGGGCUGGUGGCUCUGCGGGAUUAGAUGUGAAGGCACUCGGGAACGCCACUGCAGUGAAGGUGGUUCUGGGACUGAAGGGUGAGCAGCAGCGGGAUGGCCGGGAACUGAUGUGGUUCUGCUGCACAGGGAAAGGUGAGUAGGACCUGCCCAGGCCUGCUGGGCUCUCACAGCUUGUUCCCUGCUGAUGGAGACAAAAGUACCUGUUUAAAAUGUCACUCUUGGUGCAAAGUGCUGCCUCCGCCAGCCUCCCAGCCCCGCUGCUGGGUGUAAAAGCACAUCACACCGCUCACGGCAUGAGGGGAACAUGCUCCUGAGACCAGACACAGGCUCCUGCACCUCGGGAGGCACCAGGCGCUGUUCCUGGUGUGCAGUGGCAGGAGAGCACCCGGAGCAGCAGAGCUCUGCCUGGAGCUCGAUGCAGCCACAGUUUAAAAACAACCCAUUACAUUGUCUCUCUUGGCUGUCUUAUACCCAAGAAAUGCACUUGUGAGAGCUGUUCUACAAGAGAGGGGCAGAAUGUGCCCAUUAAAUAGGAAGUUAAAAAUUAAUUUAGUUAUUCAGUUGGUGUAUCUUCUGUCCUGGGCCCUUCAGGGAUGAAGUGUGCUUCAACAGCACGUAACCCAGCUGUGCACGGUGGGGCAGGGCGCUGGAGCCGCCCUACAGACACGGCGUGUGACGCUGGGCUCUGUAUCCACGCCAGACGAACAGAAGCCCCUGUGCCUCAGGAAGGUGCAGACUGGGUUCUAAAGAUAGUGGUGAAUGUUCCCCUCAGCCAAGCAUACGUGUGCUAACGCUGCUGAGUAGAGCUGUUACACAAAUAACAUUGAAAAUGCUUCUGAUGUGUUUUGCCAGGCUGUCACGUUAAGCAGCAUGACGUAUUGGCGUGGUGUUGGGAUACUGGAGAAGUCUUCAUUCACACAGCCGGUGUGGACCACUGUAACUUUAGUUAGUCCAGCGUAUGCAGUGACUUCUCCCAGUGCUGCUGCUGCAGAAAGGCUUCUGAACGAUGCUGAAAGACAAUUUUACAUGUUUUUCUGUGCUGACUGCUCUGUCCUCCUAGAACAGCUGGAUCUGUUCCCGCCCCCAGCCGUCCCUGGCGCCCGGGCAGCGUUCAGCCCAGCCGCACCGACAGCUCAGCUGCUGCUUGGGAAGCGUCUUCCCCCGGUGCAGUUACUGCGCCAAUCCGUGAUGGUGAACUGGUUACAAGUUCAGGUUUUGUGCAUGUGCCAGUUUUGAAUUCUAGCAGUUCAGUGACACGGUGCAGUGAUGUAGCUGUUUUACGAGCAGCUGCAGUGGUUCCCUGCCGCCUCCUCUGCCGCAGCAGCUGACUGUGCGUGCCGGCAGCCGCGCAGACCCUGCCCGGACCCUCCGCAACCUCCCUGUGCCGCUUCGGGUGGUUGUUGGUGUAACGGGGAUAGAUGUUGUGCCCUUCAGCCCUACCAGCUGAGCACAACCUGCGGGACAGGUCAGUGGGCACUGAGCAGGGACACUGUUAGUACAGGCUGAGUAAGUGAGCAGCUGUACUGCCCGUGUGCCUACACGCGCUGUACUGCGCUGUUGCUCCCCGGCGUGGCAGAGCAGCGCUGCCCGGCCAGCUCUCCGUGUGCGAAGUUCACGUGAAGUUCACGAGCACAACUAAAGCAGCUUGAAAUACUUAAGAAACUGUAUUCAGGAGAGAUCACUUGUUGAGCUGCGUGGAGAGAUCCAGACUCAGUCCUGAGUAUAUUUAUGAUGUCAGGUCUGUUUUCUAAAAUGAAAAUUCUCAUAAGUUAGCAAAAAUAAUGUCUGCGUAUGGGAGGCGGGGGGUGAGGUUACAAAUACAUAGCUGGAAGUUGCCUUUAAUUUACAUCACAGAGAAACCAUUACAAAUAGUGUAGUACUUAAUAACAUGAAAAGUGUGUCUGGUUGUUUUUCUCGGCCAUGGCACCACCUUUUAGUGCAAAAUUACUGCUUGUUGCUAAUUAGAAAAAUCAUGUGGUAGGAAAAUAAAUUACUGGUUUUUUUUUUUUCCUUUUACCAUGUAGAAAAAUAGAGGACUAAUAAGUUAUUGACCUGAAAGAUAACAGUGCUGCUCCUGCUCUGUGUAGUUGCUGUAGGGACGGCUCUUUCCUGAAAGGAAACCAAGCUCCCUUCAGCAUCAGACUGAGCCGUGUUGUAGUUGGCCUCCCACCAAACGCCCUGAAAGCACAGAGUUGGGCUUCCUUCCACGGGUACUGAGGGAUGUUCAACAGAUGUGUUGAACAGAUGAUUCCCAGUGUCUGCUCAUGGAAUCUCCCACACCCCAGACAUUUAUUUUAACAAUGCACAUGCAUGUCACACCUGGUUUGUUUCUCAAACCAUUCUGGUGCUUCUAAUACAAUAGUGAUUUGUAUCUCAUUGUUUUCAGGGGGUUUUGGAGACACCGCUACCAUUCGGAUUCCUCUGGAUUCCUGAUGGCUCGUCUGGUUCACUGAGCUUCACCGCUCAGGUAAUCAGAACACUUGCGGAGGAUUAACUGUCUCCAGUCCAGUGACUGAGUGACAUACUGACAAGCUGCUCAUCCACAACACAAGGCCAUGGAUCGCUGCAUUUGAAAUACAGCUCUCUGCUCUAGAAAGCGGCUUCCGUUCUCUAGAAACUAAAGAAAACUAAGACAUGGGUCUUCUCAUGAACAGCACAGAAGUGCCUGAGUCACGGAGCCGCAUGGGGAGCAGCUGCAGCUGCCCCAGCCCCCCGGACAAGCUGGAGAAGCUGGCAGUGGAGCUGCCACCUGCCCCUGGAGCCAGGGACGUCCUGAACCGCGGCCCCCGUGGCAGCAACAGGUUCUUGCUGUAGUUGUAAAGACUGCUUCUUGAUGAACCCUGAACUUGUAGGGAGCAAACGCAACAGCCUCUUGCUAGCCGGCCCCUCGCGCAGGUGGCAGCUCCCAAGGGUGGGGAUCCUCAGGAGGAAUCACGGCUGCACGGCCGCGCGUUUCUGCUCCCAGCUCUGAGUGCGGAACGCGGCCGCCUCUCACCAGCCACACACAGAGGAGCACGAACGCACCGGUGAUUUAAGAGCACUUUAUUGUUCUUUAAGGCUACUUUUAAGUACAAAAAAAAAGAUGGCCUGCCAAACCUUUUUUUUUUUUUCUCCUUUUUGCAGGUGAAACAAGGCCACAAAAGAAUGGUAUAUUACAGAUUUACAAACACAGAGAGAAUCUUUCAGACUGAACUGUAGAUGACCCGGCUCUGUGAAGAAACUUCGCCACAUCUCAGGAUGGCGAGUUCAGUUUAGUUUCCUUCCACCUCCCCCCAACCCUUUGGCUUUCGUGACAUUAUUGUGUUUAAUAUAUGUUUUACUGGACAUAUCACAUUAAGUCUUUAUUGCCCUCAAAUCCAUUUACCUAUCUCAGAUAAGUAAAUGUAACCUUGUAAAACAGCUAUUAUUGAAAAUAUUAGCUUUAAAAACAUUAUCUUAUUUGUGUUUACAAAGAAAUAUAGGAGUCACAUUUUCCACAGAGUCCAUCUACAGUAUUAGUAUUUUACUGUUAUAAUGUUCAGUAGCCCGUAGCAAUAACAAACUAGUGGCUAUUAAUGCUAAUGCAGUGUUCUCAUAGAAUAACUGUGUUCCUGCACUUUUACUGUAUUACAGACAAAUCUACAACAAAAAAAGAUCAACUUUUUUCUCCAAACAAAAAAAAAAAAAAAAAAAUGAAUGAUUACAAUAAAGGAAAGGGAAAAAUUAAAUAGCUA